rnacentral:sRNA from 1 species
GUACAAUUCGCCCGAUACGAAGCGCGGAAGCCGGUGCAAUUCCGGCGCGGUCGCGCCACUGUAACCGGGGAAUCGAUGAUCCCGGAAGCCAGACCUGCCUUCGUACCCAUCCAUCAUUUGUCGGGGCGCGAUUCCCCUGAGGUGCAUC